CGCAGCUGCAAAGGAAAUCAUUUUCUCGUUAGAAUAUUAAAAGCGGAAUAUUUAAAAUUGCUUCGAAGUUUAUAAUUUUAAUCUUUAAUUUUUACGACUUUGAAGACACUUUUUAUAUUUCACGCCUCUGCUAAAGCUUAAUCUUAUUGUUGCUUUUAUUUAUAUAUCAAAGAGUUUCUUAUUAGGUAGAAUAAUUCAUUAUGAGUACGAAUAAAAUAUUCUUGCGAAUCGUACUCACUCUAUUAAAAAAUAUUGUUGCGCAUCUCAAAAAAUUCUGAUCCAAUUUUGAAUUUAGACUUUUCGUAAUUUAAACACUAUUAUAAGAGACAAUUCUUUUUCAUCGUUAAAGAUUAUAAACAAUUUAACGUUAACUUAAUUUACACUCGAGAAAAUUUAUCUUUUCAAUUGCAACCGUAUAAAAUAUAUUCUUAGCGAAAUUUCAGAAAAAGGAUUCACGAUUUCAACGAUGAAUCACCCAAGAACAUCCAGACAACACCGACUCGUAUUUCGUGAAAAGAGUUCGAAUACGUUGUCGUGUUUUAUCCGACUCUUUCGCUCGAUUCCACUUCGGCUAAUCCAGGGAUUGAAUAAAAUACCUAGGGGUUUACGAUCCCUCUCGCGUAAUCCCUCGUCUCUCUCUCUCUCUCUCUCUCUCUCUCUCUCUCUCUCUCUCUCUCUCUCUCUCUCUCUCUCUCUCUCUCUUUCUUUUUCUUUAAGAACAAUGUAUCCACCAGACAAUCGAAAGUUGCACGCGUGCACGAAUAAUUCAAUCAGACCAAAGUAAUGGUGCGGAUUGUUUAGACUUUUGGAAAUUUGCGCGAUCGUUACAAUCCAAUAAUUUUGACUCGAUAUUUUAAUCAGGCCAUAUAUUUUUGCGAAGGAAAGGUAAAUGUUUAUGGAUUGUUUUGCAAUGAAAUUCUAAAGAAUGUAAAAAACGGGGUCAUCGAACGGGAAAUUUAUUAUUACAAAUGAUACAAUAUUUCAAGAUGUUUUAUUGCAAGAAUAAAAAUAAAUUCUUCAUAUUGAAACGUAAUAAAUUUUAAUAAUGCAAGUUUGCAAAAUAUUGUCAAAAAAUUUACAUUAUUUAUUAGUAUUUUAUCUGUCACGAAUUAUCUAUAAAUUAUAUAUAUAUAUUUCAAAGAAACGUAUCUAUUUUCGAUAAAGGCAAAAGAGGUGAUCCGUUUUAAUCAUGUACUUAUCAAUAUCAAAAAAAAAAAGAAAACUGACACGUACAUUCGAAACUAAUCGAUAAUGUUUUCAAUUUAAUUCAUCUCACGAAUUAAAAAAAAAUCAUAUUUAUUUGUCCAAUAAAAACAAAAGAGCGAUCCGUUUUGCGGUUAUCAAUUCCAAAAAAAAAAAAGGAAAAAAAAAUUUACACGUACGUUCAGGGCUAACUGAUCAAUCAAUCACAGUGUGGUUUUUAAUCCAGUUCGGUUUGUCAUUGGGUGUGCGGUAUAUCUGUCUUCUCCCGAUGCUAACGAGGGCGAUGAAUAUCGAAUAAAAUGGUGGAACGCACCGGGCCAGUAGCAUUUAAAUAUCGCAAACAAGCUUUCCGUUCCGUUUUCGUUAAAGCUCCCCGAUGAUAGUCGUAUUUGAGGAUCGUUUUUAAAAUUGGAACUAGUCCAAAAACACUCGGCGACACAUUCCGCGAACAGGAAUUUAUUUUUGUUUCCAGCCAUGCACAAAACAUCGGGCGUAUUUUCGAUUCGGACCAAACCUUUUCCUCGCAGCUUGUUUUCACUUUUAAUAACUACAAGCGACAAGCGAAAUCCUCCCGUCUCUUUGGGAGGAGAUCUUGUUAGUCUUUGAAAGCAUCGAUGCCAAUUAGAGCGAAUUAUUGCGCGAGGAAAACAUUUUGCCGACGAAGAGGUUCUUCCGUACGAAAAAUUCCGUACAGUAGAAAAUAUUUCCAACUUCGCUGCUGCUAACUUUCUGAAAGAGCGAAAGAAUGAAAAUUGGAAAAAUUGCGAGAAAAAUAGCGGUGAAACAAACUUGUACUCCGCGUAAGUAGUCCAAGUCUAAUAAACCAAAAUCUCGAUACUGUUCCUGAAGAGUACGAAAGAGAAACGAUACGAUGAAGUAAUCCCAUGGAUCUCGACGAACGUCAAAACGCUCGCGCGUCCUUUCUUCCUUGCGCUUGCGGUACGCGAGUUUUAUUCGAGAUUUAUGCGUGUUUUCAACUACGAAAUCCGGUGGAAGCGUCACGAGACGAUGGAUGGAGUUACACGACUCACUGUUUUCACUGUCCAUCCGUUUCCGUUGUCGUGACGCGAGACAAUGCUUGUAUGUAUUAGGGACGAAUUUGGACGAGGCGUGCAUUUAAAUUGCUACUAAAAUACAUUAAAUUCGUUGGAGAGAAGAAAACUUUUCAACGAAUAAAAUUAUUUAAAAUUUCGAAAUUUUCUAUCCCAACAAAAUUCCGUCUGAAAAAUUUAGAUCGAAUCCUUUUCUUCCAUCAUCGAGCGCGAAAUUUCGAAAUUUUUCUUCCAGCUCCCGAUCGUGAAGAAAUUAAAUUAUAAAUAAGAGAGUAACGAGCAACACGUGGCGAGAUUCUGGACCACCGUGAAAGUCGUUUGAUCUCGUCGAGUUUAUGCUUAAAGACAAAUAAGUCUGACGCGAGACACGCGCGAAGAAACUCGUUCCACAGACCGAAGUUCCGCUAUCGGAAAUGCGCAAAGGCCUUCGACAUCCGUCUACAAUAACAUUUUGAUAAUGAAUAGCGACACGCGGCUUCCUUUCAUCCAUUUGCGAUUCGAUGUUUUUCCAUCUGUCUAGAGCAACUCGUAAUCUUGCGUAAUCGUCUCGUCGAGGAGCUGCUCAAUUUGCAUUGUGAAAAUAAAAAAAGACUUUAUGGACAAUUUGAAAUUGGCAUUUAUUUAAAUUGUCUGUAAAACAUUACCGACCGAUAAUUUUCAACGAUGAAUUUAUUUCACAAGCUGGAAUUCAAUUCUUUAGGUAUAAUUUUUCAUUGAAUCGUACAUGGUGUAUCAUUGACCUGACUAUUUUGUUCAUUACAGGAAUUACUUCGAAACCACUUCUGAAUUGCAUUGUAAAAAGUAAUUGGAUCUAUGAUAACCGACAAAAAAGAGGAUUAUUCUAAGAAGAAUGAAUAAAGCAACGAUAAGCAAAGAAAAAAAUAAAGAAAGAAGAUGUAUCUUUUAUAAUCCAAGAGACAAUUUAAAUUCAUACAUUAUCUAUUUCUAUUAUAUUCUCAUAUUUUAAAUCCAUUUACCUUUUACGCAAUCUCUUAUUUCAAAGUGAGUAAAUAUCCUAUAUUCCCUUCUCUAAAACAAAUUUCCUAAUCGUUGUAAAAUAAAAUUCCACUUGUGUUGUUUCUCACAAGGGAAGAAGAAAAGAGAAAGAGGAAAAAAGGGAAGAAAAAUCCAACGAAACGGAAGCGAGGCGAUUAAUUCUCCCUGAAUCGAAACGCAUUAAGAAAUGAAAGAGAAAAAGGCCGCGAAUCUAACACGGGCCUUGAUAAUGACCGUGAUUGCUUAAUUAGCUGCCAGUGGAGCAAAGUGAGUGCACACAGAAAUAGCAAACAGAAUCAUCCCUUGCUCCAUAGGAACUACGGCUGGCUAGUCGUCCUAACCAGGCGAGCAAGUCCAAGGUUGUCGAGGCUCUGAUGCAACGCGAGCCAUCAUCAUCAUCGGUCGCGCAAAGUGGGAGGCGGAUGGAGGUGAAACGGCGGUGGGGCACGCGCUCACCAGAGAACCAAUUGGAGCUAUAACGACAGUUUUGAGGAAUCGAAUUUUGGAGUUUUGAACGGAGGAAACUUUGAAAUUUUUAUAGAUCGAACGCGAAUGGAAUGGAAACGUAACGAUCAUCGCCUAUUGCGCUUUAAAUUGCGAAAAGUUAUGAAAUUGAUGGUUGGAAAAUGAUGGAAAAUUAUGAAAUAGAAAUAUAACAUAGAGGAAAUUUUGAGAUAUAAAGAGAGGGACUUGCAAGUUUGAUGAAUUAUCAAAAUACGAGUUUAGAUAUCGUGAUAAUAAAUUCUAAAGAAAAUUGAACAAGGAAAAAAAACUUGGAAGUUUUAUCGUAAAUGCAACGAACUGUGUGAUAAUGCUUACAAAGCACUUCGAAAAAUUAGAAAGAAUUAAAAUUGAAAGAAAAAUGAAUUAUUUUAUUUGGAAUAGCGUGUUGCAUUUUGUAACGAAGGAAAUUUGAAAUUUGGAAUUUUUAUAUCUUAAUAAUUGUCGUGAGAAGAGGAAGAGAUAAAAAUGGCGGAAGUGAAGGAAAGUAAAAGACGAGUAGCGAGCAACUUAAGAGAGAUUAUCUUCCGAGAUUGUUUUAUCAUGCGUCUACGACACAUUAAAUGAUGAUCUCAAGUUUUUCGAGCUGCUCACGUGUAACGCGCGACACUUAAUCGGUCGAUGACGUCUAUUACAUGGAAACAUGGGUUGGUUCUUAAUCGAUUAAGACUAAGAUGGCAACUAAUAUGCGACAGAAAUGAUUGAUGUACUCGAUGGCAAUUAUUUUGCCAUUUUUUUUUUUUAUAUAUAGAUUUUUUGAAUCCAAUUAAAUGUAAGAAAGAGAAAAAAUUCAUCGUGCAAAGUUUUCUUCGAACAAGUUUCUGUAAAACGUGAAAAUUCUUAAAUGUUCACAGAUAUUUAAUAUUUAAUAUUUUCUUGAUUAAUGGUAAUAUUUCUUCGUAUGAGAUCGUGAAUAUUUUUUUUUUUUGCAUUUGAAAAUUUGACAAAGAAAAAAAUAUUUUUCGUAUAAUAAUUGAAUAUACUUUCAUCAAGCUAAUAAUAUUUUCCAUCAAUUAUGCCUAUAUAUUAAUAACAUUAUCAGUUCAAACUAUCAGAAAUAGAUUAAGAUAUAAUUAAAAAUACUCGUACAGAUUAUCUUUAUUAUCUUUAUUGUUUUUCCAAUGAUAGAUUAAAGAUGUUUAUUACAAAUACUCGAUAAAUAUUCCCAUCUUUCGCAGGUGUCUUGAAACGAAAGUUCAAUCGUAUUACCAAGGAGUUACAAACUUACUCAAUUAAAACUUUUAUCGAAUUUCUAAUUUCGUAUGAAUCCUGUAAAUCUUAAUGAGAACAGAUGAAAUCGAAAUAAGAGGGAGACUUAUCCAAGAAUUAUUCGAGGAUACAUUUCACAAUUUAUUUAUUCGAAAUAUAUAUAUAUUGGAAUUAUUGAAAUUGAAAAAUUUACAUUAAUCAUAGAAUCAUUAAUAAAAUGGAAGAAAAAAAAAUUAGUCAUGUUAAAUAUGAUAAUCAAGUUUUUUUUAGCGUAUUCUUUAGCUAUUUAAACUCGCAAAGUCAUGAUGAAGUAUUUUUUUACGAUAAAUAGAUUCUCAGAAACUUUAUUUUUAUUCUACGUUAUUACUGAAAGUGUCAGAACGAGGAGAAUUUAUUAGAUCUUUUUUUUUUCUUAUGUUAAGAAGGAAAUUUGCUCGUUUAAGAAAAAGAAAAAAAAGAAAAAUAUGUAUUAAAAUAUAUAUUAAAUGUAUUAUUAUAUGAUUCGUUUAUCUUUAAUUCGUUUAAUUUUGUAUAAUUUUUGUUCGAACAAAUUUCUUUUUUUGCACAAAAGAACGGUAAUGUAAAAAUUAGCCAGUCUUUGUUGAGUCAUAUAGAGGGUUGAUUGAAAAACACGUCAUCGUUCUUAAGAUAUUUCUGUAUAUAGAUGUUACAUAAUUUUAUAAGCGAUAAAUUAUUUUCAAGUCACUCGGUAUCGAUCUGUUUAAUGUGGGGCGUGGACUAUUCCACUUUUUAUUUUAAACUUCCAAUAUAUGAAUCCAUCUUCCAUUUUCACCUCCUGGCUUAUAAUUCUUUUAGCAGUUUUUUACUUAUCACUUAUAUUCUACUUUGACAUUUGAUCAGACGAAAAGGUUGAAAUAAUUGUGAAUAAUUUUUUUUAUUCUUAGAUAUUUCAACUGAAGUUUAAAUAUUUAAAUUUUAUUUGAUCAUUUAUACAUUAUUUAAUAUAAAUUUUAAGUUAUUUCAGUUAUUUUAAACACAAUUAUACAUUCUAAGUAUCUUAAGGAUUUUGAAUAUCUAAAGAGUCAUAAGAAUUUUAGAUUUUAAAUAUCUAAAACAUAGUUCAAAAUUGAUAACUUCAAAUAUUAAAAAAUAUUCUGUUCGUGUAUUUUAAGUAUCUUAAAAUACAUUAGAAAAUUGUUAAAUAUAAUAAUUUAACAAUCUAACUAAAUUAUCUCUAUUGAAGAUAAUUGUUUUAAUUGUUUUAAAUUUCUUAAGUAAAUAUAUAUUGAAUUUUAAAAGAAUUUGUGAACAAUUUCUCGCUAUUUAUUCUUCGAAAAAAUUCUUGCAACACAUUAUACGACAUGAACACUUUUACUCUUACUUUACUCAUACUUUCUCCUGAUAUACGUAACAAUUACAUAAAUGGGCCCAGCUGUAAAAUGACAAAAGAAUAGACGAUUCAUGUUCGUGAAAUAA